UCGGGUUGUAAAGCACUUUUGUCCGGAAAGAAAACCUCCGCCCUAAUAUGGUGGGGGGAUGACGGUACCGGAAGAAUAAGCACCGGCUAACUACGUGCCAGCAGCGCGGUAAUCGUAGGGUGCGAGCGUUAAUCGGAAUUACUGGGCGUAAAGCGUGCGCAGGCGGUUCGCUAAGACCGAUGUGAAAUCCCCGGGCUUAACCUGGGAACUGCAUUGGUGACUGGCGGGCUAGAGUAUGGCAGAGGGGGGUAGAAUCCCACGUGUAGCAGUGAAAUGCGUAGAGAUGUGGAGGAAUACCGAUGGCGAAGGCAGCCCCCUGGGCCAAUACUGACGCUCAUGCACGAAAGCGUGGGGAGCAAACAGGAUUAGAUACCCUGGUAGUCCACGCCCUAAACGAUGUCAACUAGUUGUUGGGGAUUCAUUUCCUUAGUAACGUAGCUAACGCGUGAAGUUGACCGCCUGGGGAGUACGGUCGCAAGAUUAAAACUCAAAGGAAUUGACGGGGACCCGCACAAGCGGUGGAUGAAGGUGGAUUAAUUCGAUGCAACGCGAAAAACCUUACCUACCCUUGACAUGGUCGGAACCCUGCUG
rnacentral:rRNA from 1 species